AACAUUUAGGAAUCAUUCACUCUUUUCAAAUUUUUUACUAAUCUAAAGUCUCUGCAAUGAAUUGUAGGUAUGAAUCAGAUUUUUGGUAUCCAAUAUUUAGGUAGUAGUAUCACGAUAGAAAAAUUAUAAGGUGUUAUCAUAUAAGUACCUUGUCCAGCAAUCUUUUACUAAUUUCUCUUCCUAGGCCUGUUCGGAUUAAGAAAAGCUAGAUAUAGAGGAUAAUUCCUCUUCCAAUGCCCCAACUUCUUGCAAAAGAAGUAUUCUGCCUAACUCUGAUCUACCUUAGACU
rnacentral:lncRNA from 1 species